UGAUAAAGCUGUAACUGGCUCCCAGCCACUGGAGAGUGGCUUUAGACACUGUACAGACGGGCUGCCAGACACACAGGACCUUGCUUUUUAUGCUUAAAACGCCCAACGCUCUGUGUGGAGCUCAGGAGCGCACGUUCUCUCGUGGAGCCCCAGGUAAGCUCUGUCCAGCCCCUGGACAGACUUUGACAGGUUUCAUCUGGAUUCCUGCAGAAUAAAUAAGCCUCUCUGUGGCCUGAUACGGAAACCUGGACUGCAUCAGUGGGGAAUGCAGGGUUAUGAACUACACCGCCCAGAGGGGGGCGCCCUUUAGCUCAGAUUACAAUAUUCAAAUGCACACCGGCAACCCCUGGCUGGUCAGUCGUGAUGUUUUUGCUGCUCCUCUGUAGAAGCGCCUUCCUCUGCCUCAUGUCUGUGUGAGCUCGCCGUGUCAGCUGUGACAUCAGAGGAAGUGAUGGUGACAUCAUGCAUUUUUGAGGAGACCCCAUGUCUUUCUGCUCUCUCCCAGAACGGCAACAGCGAGCCGUGUGAGCAUACAUAUUGUUUUUCUUCAUUUUUCUUUCUCCAAAUUGAGAGAAAAAGAAGGGAAAUUAAUGGAAAAUAUGUAUUUCUAGACUGCCAUCUGUACUGUAAGAUACUAGCUCCUGA